AAGGAUACCGAAGAGAAUUGGAGG
rnacentral:miRNA from 1 species